AUUGAACGCUGGCGGCAUGCUUUACACAUGCAAGUCGAACGGCAGCGCGGGCUUCGGCCUGGCGGCGAGUGGCGAACGGGUGAGUAAUGCAUCGGAACGUGCCCAGUAGUGGGGGAUAGCCCGGCGAAAGCCGGAUUAAUACCGCAUACGACCUGAGGGUGAAAGCGGGGGACCGAAAGGCCUCGCGCUAUUUGAGCGGCCGAUGUCGGAUUAGCUAGUUGGUGGGGUAAAGGCUUACCAAGGCGACGAUCCGUAGCUGGUCUGAGAGGACGACCAGCCACACUGGGACUGAGACACGGCCCAGACCCCUACGGGAGGCAGCAGUGGGGAAUUUUGGACAAUGGGGGCAACCCUGAGCCAGCCAUGCCGCGUGCGGGAAGAAGGCCUUCGGGUUGUAAACCGCUUUUGUUCGGGAAGAAAUCCUCUGGGCUAAUACCCCGGGGGGAUGACGGUACCGGAAGAAUAAGCACCGGCUAACUACGU
rnacentral:rRNA from 1 species